GACGAACGCUGGCGGCGUGCUUAACACAUGCAAGUCGAACCAAGUGGCGAACGGGUGAGUAACGCGUAAUCAACCUGCCCUUCAGAGGGGGACAACAGUUGGAAACGACUCUUAAUACCGCAUACUGAUGGCGUGGCUUGCGUCUGAAUGGCUAGUUGGAGGGGUAACGGCCCACCAAGGCAAUGAUAAGUAGACGGUCUGGAAGGAUGAACGGGCACAUUGGGACAGAGACACGGCCCAGACUCCUACGGGAAGCCGCAGUGGGGAAUCUUCCGCAAUGGACGAAAAUCUGACGGAACAACGCGGCGUGAGUGAUGACGGGCUUCGGGUCGUGAAGCUCUGUUAAUCGAGACGCGGUACCGGAAUAGAAAGCCACGGCUAACUACGUGCCAGCAGCCGCGGUAAUAC
rnacentral:rRNA from 1 species